rnacentral:ncRNA from 14 species
UGAUUGUCCAAACGCAAUUCUCG